GCCUUUGCCAGUGACGUUGUGCUGAACAAUAAAACCCAAGAAGGCGAGCAUAGCCAAGCGGCCAUUGGCAAGCUCCUUCUCCUUGGCCUCAAGAGUGGGGGCGAAGUUGAGGGGGUUGAAGAUGCCACCAGGGUAGCCGACCUCGUUGGGGGGGAGGCUGUACUGCUUGAAGAUGGGGUCUUGGUUCACACUCCCAGGGUUCUUGAUGUCCUGCCAUCUCCUGAUCUCAACGUAAUGGAAGAGUAUGAACUCUAUCACAAACAGGGUCGACGAAGACGCGAAGUACUCCUCCUUCCCUGCGUCGUACCAUUUCGGAACAUUUAUGAUCCCUAUGCUCGUGAACACCUCCGGCAGCAGCAUCCCUGCCACCCCCAGCAUCGCCCACCUCCCGUUCACCAGCUCUGCCUGUACGAACCACUUCAGGUUCUCUGGGUCCUCUGCUAGCCCCAACGGGUCGAAUCCAUUGUCUCCCGG
rnacentral:lncRNA from 1 species